rfam:Mesorhizobium amorphae CCNWGS0123 contig00166, whole genome shotgun sequence.
GCGGGGGGUCCAUCAGCCGUUCCCAACCGGACAUGCCGAGCCGUUAACAGCUCGGUGUGAAGCUCUGUGACAACCUAGCCGCCGAUACCCGGUACGCCGACCCGCGAGGCAAGGCGGAAUCUGCCAGCACGAAGGCCGAGAGGAGC